UUCCCACAAAAGCAAAAGAAGAGACGGAGUGACCAUCGCCCUUGGUCUAGUCAUCACCCAUAGCUGGGUACAGACAGAGGAUGCAAUAACCAUAGUACAUUUGACCAUCUGCAAAACAACAUGGGAAUAGAACCCUGAGUACGAGAAGGUACUCAGCUAGACUUACCCGUCAUAAACUUAAAAGAAAGACUCAUCAAGGAUCAUGAAGGCUAUUUAGUGGGGUAGCUGACAACCAUUUUGCAAAGACCGCAAGAUUUUAUUACCCAAGCCUACAUAAAUCCUUUCUUCUUUUAAUCUGCUCAAGUUGACAGUAUCAUUAUCUAUUACCUAGAUUUGCUCCUGUGCUAUUACAAGCAAAUAUGAGACUAUGAUAGUACCUUAUUACAGCAGUCAUAAACCCGUUUCAUUAUAACCCAAGUGUUCCAUAGUCCUUACUACGAGGACAGGGCUCAUGUCAAGUGCUCACUAUCCAGGAGCGAUGGCGAUUCGAAUCGAUUUCUAACCAGCUGGCGAGUUUAUUCCCCACACAAACCACACUCACUGAUCAAGUGAGCUACAGAUCACCGUAUUGCACUAUCCAGGACCAAUUCGCGGGUUCGACAGGCACCGCCCGUACCCGAGGACCGUUCCGGCGACCGAGGUAUCCAAGGUAUACCAAGGUUGCGCGCCGCGCCCUCGUCGUUCUCCUCAACCAUCACCAAUACAGCGCGUACAUCGGGCCGAUUCCCGGCCCGGAUAGUGCUCAGGCUUCGCGGUCGGAACGACUUAUCCUUCCAGCUAAAUGUGGGGCAUGCGUUCAACAUGACAAGAGGGCCGUCAACGAUCGGUCCUUAAUCGACACAGGCAGGGGCACUAUGGGCAACCCACCAUAAGACCCUGCCCGGUCUCCAAUUACUUUCCACACUUGGUUAUUUCUUUCCCCAGCAACCACUGCUUAAUCAAGCAGGUAUCCACCUACAUCUCGCAGGUGACAGGACAUCACCCGACUUCUACCGGACUAAGCAGGCUAAGCAUAGACUCCGCGCCUAUCUACAUAGGACAAGGUAGAUAACGAGUAGGGAUAACAAGGAAUACAUAUGCAGCAACGGUACCAGACAACUCCUAUCACGUAAUAUGCAAUAUAGUAGAAUAAGUAUAGCACUUUAUAUAAGUCAGUGAGAAUAGGGAGACUUAGAAUGCUCCGGGGCUUGCCUUUCUCAAACGUGCUGGGUCGAUGAUCCGGGCACUCUUGCAGUUCCUCUCCGGACUCUUGUGCUUCCGGAGGUUCCUGCUCCUGAAGCUCCUCGGGUUCCUCGGGUCCCACUCUGUUCUCCUGC
rnacentral:lncRNA from 1 species